GGGCAACGAGCAAAUGCUACCUGUCGCGGACGCAUCACCAGUAUCCGACAGCGCAGCUCCACCUGUUUCCCAAUGUCAUCGAGAGUCCGGACUACACAAUUAGCAUCCCCAUGACACCUGCUCUGCGGUCUGCCACACGAGGGGUCACAGCUAGCCUGCGUUCAACAGCUUUCUGCACCAGGGCCAGCUCUCUUCCCAGUGAUAUGUCAACAGAGCUGGGGGGGAUGUGUUAGCAACGACAGUCUGCAACGUGUUCAAUCAUCCAGCACAACUGCACAGCACGCAUGUGUUAGUCCCUGCAAUCACGCCAGCACCCCUACGGCUGCCUCUACCCAGGCGUCAGAGCACCGGUUGGGAAUGGA
rnacentral:lncRNA from 1 species